rnacentral:rRNA from 1 species
UACGUAGGGUGCGAGCGUUGUCCGGAAUUAUUGGGCGUAAAGAGCUCGUAGGCGGUUUGGUAAGUCGGAUGUGAAAUCUCCAGGCUCAACCUGGAGGGGUCAUUCGAGACUGCUAUGACUAGAGUUCGGUAGAGGAGUGUGGAAUUCCUGGUGGAGCGGUGAAAUGCGCAGAUAUCAGGAGGAACACCCGUAGCGAAGGCGGCACUCUGGGCCGAUACUGACGCUGAGGAGCGAAAGCGUGGGGAGCGAACAGG